rnacentral:rRNA from 1 species
CCGCUGAACUUAAGCAUAUCAAUAAGCGGAGGAAAAGAAACCAACAGGGAUUGCCCUAGUAACGGCGAGUGAAGCGGCAACAGCUCAAAUUUGAAAUCUGGCUUCGGCCCGAGUUGUAAUUUGUAGAGGAAGCUUUUGGCGCGGCACCUACUGAGUCCCCUGGAACGGGGCGCCAGAGAGGGUGAGAGCCCCGUAUAGUGGGAUGCCUAGCCUCUGUAAAGCUCCUUCGACGAGUCGAGUAGUUUGGGAAUGCUGCUCAAAAUGGGAGGUAAAUUUCUUCUAAAGCUAAAUAUUGGCCAGAGACCGAUAGCGCACAAGUAGAGUGAUCGAAAGAUGAAAAGCACUUUGAAAAGAGGGUUAAACAGCACGUGAAAUUGUUGAAAGGGAAGCGCUUGUGACCAGACUUGCGCCCGGUUGAUCAUCCGGUGUUCUCACCGGUGCACUCCUCCGGGCUCAGGCCAGCAUCGGUUCUCGCGGGGGGAUAAAGGCCCAGGGAACGUAGCUCUUCCGGGAGUGUUAUAGCCCUGGGUGCAAUGCCCUCGCGGGGACCGAGGUUCGCGCAUCUGCAAGGAUGCUGGCGUAAUGGUCAUCAGCGACCCGUCUUGAAACACGGACCAAGGAGUCAAGGUUUUGCGCGAGUGUUUGGGUGUCAAACCCGCACGCGUAAUGAAAGUGAACGUAGGUGAGAGCUUCGGCGCAUCAUCGACCGAUCCUGAUGUAUUCGGAUGGAUUUGAGUAGGAGCGUUAAGCCUUGGACCCGAAAGAUGGUGAACUAUGCUUGGAUAGGGUGAAGCCAGAGGAAACUCUGGUGGAGGCUCGCAGCGGUUCUGACGUGCAAAUCGAUCGUCAAAUCUGAGCAUGGGGGCGAAAGACUAAUCGAACCAUCUAGUAGCUGGUUACCGCCGAAGUUUCCCUCAGGAUAGCAGUGCUGUUCUUCAGUUUUAUGAGGUAAAGCGAAUGAUUAGGGACUCGGGGGCGCUUUUUAGCCUUCAUCCAUUCUCAAACUUUAAAUAUGUAAGAAGCCCUUGUUACUUAAUUGAACGUGGGCAUUCGAAUGUACCAACACUAGUGGGCCAUUUU